rnacentral:misc_RNA from 1 species
GUUCUACAAGAGUUAACAAACUAACUAAUCUUGGCACGUUUAUCAUAAGCUAAUGCCCCCCUUCAAGCUAGAGAAUAGAUAUUUGUCAUUCCCAUCUUGUGAAUGAUCUCAUGGAAAGGAGUGGCACCAAGAGCCUUUGUGUAAAUGUCAACUAAUUAAGGAAGACCAUGGAACAAGCUUGAUAAGGCUUGAAUGAGCUUUCUCUCUAACAAGAUGACAAUUAAUCUCAAUAUGCUUAGUACGUUCAUGAAAGUUGGGUUGGCAAUAAUUUGGGGGUCUGAUUUAUUAUCAAAAAAUAAAAGAGCUAGUUGAGGAUAAGGAAUGUGCAGGUCUUAUAGAUAAUGCAACAGUUAUAUUUCACAAGUGAUGGAAGCAAAAGCCUUGUAUUCUGCUUCUGAUGAAGACAUGGAGACAAUGUUUUAUUUCUUGGCUCUCCAUCAUAUCAAAGAGGAACCCAAAAAGAUACAAAAACCCGUGAUGGAUUUCCUUGUGUCAACACAUCCUACCAAAUCCAAAUCAUUGAAUGCUUUGAGUUGGAGAUCAGAAUUAGUUGAGAAGAACAAAUCAAUACCAGGGGUAACUUUAAUAUACCUCAACACUCUAUGAACAAUUUGCAAAUGUUGAGAUGUGGGACUAUCCAUAAACUAAUUAAGUUGUUGGACUCAAAGGAGA